rnacentral:rRNA from 1 species
AUUGAACGCUGGCGGCAGGCCUAACACAUGCAAGUCGAACGAGUGGCGGACGGGUGAGUAAUGUCUGGGAAACUGCCCGAUGGAGGGGGAUAACUACUGGAAACGGUAGCUAAUACCGCAUACCAUCGGAUGUGCCCAGAUGGGAUUAGCAAGGAGGUGGGGUAACGGCUCACCUAGGCGCCGAUCCCUAGCUGGUCUGCGAGGAUGACCAGCCACACUGGAAUGGGGACACGGUGCACAAUCCUACGGGAGGCAGCAGGGGGAAAUAGUGCACAAUGGGCGCAAGCCAGAUGCAGCCAUGCCGCGAGUAUGAAGAAGGCCUUCGGGUUGUAAAGUACUUUCAGCGAGGAGGCGUUACUCGCAGAAGAAGCGUCGGCUAACUCCGUGCCAGCAGGCGCGGUAAUUC